UGACGUCAAGUCAUCAUGGCCCUUAUGUCCAGGGCGACACACGUGCUACAAUGGCCGGCACAGCGGGAAGCGAGGCGACGUGAGUGGCCGAGACGGAUCCCUUAAAGCCGGUCUCAGUUCGGAUUGAAGUCUGCAACUCGACUUCAUGAAGCUGGAAUCGCUAGUAAUCGCAGAUCAGCCAAGCUGCGGUGAAUACGUUCCCGGGCCUU
rnacentral:rRNA from 1 species